rnacentral:rRNA from 1 species
CGGUAGCACAGGGGAGCUUGCUCCCUGGGUGACGAGCGGCGGACGGGUGAGUAAUGUCUGGGAAACUGCCUGAUGGAGGGGGAUAACUACUGGAAACGGUAGCUAAUACCGCAUAACGUCGCAAGACCAAAGAGGGGGACCUUCGGGCCUCUUGCCAUCAGAUGUGCCCAGAUGGGAUUAGCUAGUAGGUGGGUAAUGGCUCACCUAGGCGACGAUCCCUAGCUGGUCUGAGAGGAUGACCAGCCACACUGGAACUGAGACACGGUCCAGACUCCUACGGGAGGCAGCAGUGGGGAAUAUUGCACAAUGGGCGCAAGCCUGAUGCAGCCAUGCCGCGUGUGUGAAGAAGGCCUUCGGGUUGUAAAGCACUUUCAGCGAGGAGGAAGGUGGUGAGCUUAAUACGCUCAUCAAUUGACGUUACUCGCAGAAGAAGCACCGGCUAACUCCGUGCCAGCAGCCGCGGUAAUACGGAGGGUGCAAGCGUUAAUCGGAAUUACUGGGCGUAAAGCGCACGCAGGCGGUUUGUUAAGUCAGAUGUGAAAUCCCCGGGCUCAACCUGGGAACUGCAUUUGAAACUGGCAAGCUAGAGUCUCGUAGAGGGGGGUAGAAUUCCAGGUGUAGCGGUGAAAUGCGUAGAGAUCUGGAGGAAUACCGGUGGCGAAGGCGGCCCCCUGGACGAAGACUGACGCUCAGGUGCGAAAGCGUGGGGA